rnacentral:rRNA from 1 species
UGGGGAAUAUUGGACAAUGGGGGGAACCCUGAUCCAGCCAUGCCGCGUGUGUGAAGAAGGCCUUAUGGUUGUAAAGCACUUUAAGCGAGGAGGAGGGUACUGGUAUUAAUACUACCAGGUACUGGACGUUACUCGCAGAAUAAGCACCGGCUAACUCUGUGCCAGCAGCCGCGGUAAUACAGAGGGUGCGAGCGUUAAUCGGAUUUACUGGGCGUAAAGCGUGCGUAGGCGGCUAAUUGAGUCGGAUGUGAAAUCCCUGAGCUUAACUUAGGAAUUGCAUUCGAUACUGAUCAGCUAGAGUAUGGGAGAGGAUGGUAGAAUUCCAGGUGUAGCGGUGAAAUGCGUAGAGAUCUGGAGGAAUACCGAUGGCGAAGGCAGCCAUCUGGCCUAAUACUGACGCUGAGGUACGAAAGCAUGGGGAGCAAACAGG